AUUGAACGCUGGCGGCAUGCCUUACACAUGCAAGUCGAACGGCAGCACGGGAGCAAUCCUGGUGGCGAGUGGCGAACGGGUGAGUAAAGUAUCGGAACGUGCCCAGUCGUGGGGGAUAACGUAGCGAAAGUUACGCUAAUACCGCAUACGAUCUAUGGAUGAAAGCGGGGGAUCGCAAGACCUCGCGCGAUUGGAGCGGCCGAGAUCAGAUUAGGGAGGUGGGGGGGUAAAGGCUCACCAAGCCGACGAUCUGUAGCUGGUCUGAGAGGACGAGCAGCCACACUGGGUCUGAGACACGGCACAGACUCCGACGUGAGGCAGCAGUGGGGAAUUUUGGACAAUGGGCGAAAGCCUGAUCCAGCCAUGCCGCGUGCAGGAUGAAGGCCUUCGGGUUGUAAACUGCUUUUGUACGGAACGAAAAGAUGUGGGCUAAUAAGCUGAGCUCAUGACGGUACCGUAAGAAUAAGCACCGGCUAACUACGUGCCAGCAGCCGCAGUAA
rnacentral:rRNA from 1 species